AAACCAUUUGGCCCCAUCCCUAGCAAACCCUUUAUUCUUUGAAUAUUCCCAAGGGCACAAUAUCUCUCCACCUAAUGAAGAGCAAUCCUUUCCCCUUCUCGAGUUACCAAAAGCAGGAUUAGGACUUCCUGAGGCACCAAAUUACCCUCAGCCCUGGCCCUUCCAGAAAGAUAACAAUUCUGAAAGCCCAGGUUUAGCCUAGUCCUCGUCUUGCUGGGUGACCAAAAAUAAUCUAAAGUGCAAAAAAUAGACUGCUUCUGCAACCCAGAAGAGUUUUGCUUAUUGCUGUAGAAUAACACUCAAACACUGAACAACUUUUGGCUUUCCCUUGGGCCGAAAUCCAUGAGCCUGCCCAGAGCUCAUCACAAUCCUGCAGAUUCCAAGAGGACUAAAAUCUCCACCUUUUUGCCCAGCAUUGAAAGGGCAUCCAGUUUCUUCAUGCAUUAUAUUGGCCAUGUGACUGCCUGUCUCAUCUGAAAUGGUGUGCAGUAAAAGGGAAGGAAGAGGCACUUCUUGUAAGCAAGUAUUUCAUGGUGUUGAGAACUUGGAGUAGCAACAGACAAGCUUGUAUUUGGAAGUGGAGUCUCCAUCUCAGUUGAGCCAAAGAACCAAGACGAUUCUGCCCUGGAAGUCAUUGCGCUUAAAUCAAGGAAACACAAACAGUACAGUGGCAAAGUGAACGUGGCUUGUUUGGCACAGACUUUCUACUCUAAGAAUGUCAGCCUUGAUGUACCCAAGGGCAGCACUGUAUAUGACCUGAAGGCACCUCUUGUCACAUCAGAGGGGAUGUACAGUACUAUGAAGGUAGUUGUGGUGGAACCAGAUACAGCGGUGACCUGCAAGGCUAUGCACAAGGGCAACAAGACUGCAGCCAGCACAACCCUUCCAGCAGAAAAGAAAUCUGAAGAACUGGUAACAGUGAAUGCUUGCAACGUUACAGACACCUCUUCAAAAGGUUAGUUGCUGAAAGGAACAGUGGAGCUAGGUUACUUCGUUGCGGAUUCAAUAGCGAUGCAAGAAAGCAUGUUUUCUUUGGUACAGAAGUGUUAGAACUGCAAAUACGUACCUGCUGUUUCAGGUUAAGUGGUCAAACAGAUGACAGUUUUCCAUGAGAUAAGCAAUGGAAAGUAAAAUCCUAGUCAGUCAGACAUCUCCUCUCUUCCCUGCACUGGCCACAUUCCUCUGUUACCUUUUCCUUUGUUCCUGCUUCCCUCGUCUGUCUAUGACUUGUGGAUUUUUCUUUUUCUGCCCACACCAAGACCACAAUCUCUUCCCUCUUUUCCUUCUUUUUUAAAGCAGGUAUCAAAAUGGAGAAAGUGAACAUGCUGUUCAUGACUGCAUUGGGUUUGAGAGUCCUGCUGGCAAAAAGCAUCGCCUUCAAUAUACUCAUGAGUAUCAGGCUGCUUCUCUUCUGAGGCAGGGAACACACCCUUCAGUCCCUGGGAACAUAAGAGGCGAGUGCAGGGAGCAACUGUUUGACUUCACAUCCUUCUGUAACCCCACAGAGAGCCCUGUCAGUUCAGCUGUUCAUGUUUCCACUGACUAAGUCAAUGCUUCCAGUGGCUAACUCAUUGGCAGCGCAUCGCCAAAUUGCCUUUGCACCUGUCCGCUCCAGAGCACCUCAGGUUGUAUCAGAAAUCUUCUGCUGGCUGUUUCAAGUGGCAGAGCACAAAAAUCUGGAGAAAAGUCAGGUUCGGUAAGGGACCUAAAGGGAGGAUCUCAAAACUCAAAAGUGUGAAAAGGGGAAAACAAAAGGAGGAGGGAGAAAUUUUAAGAUAAUGUACCCAAAGUAACACAAACAAUUGUCCAAUACAUUCACAGUUAACAGAAACCUAGGCAAAACUGCAUUAAAUGUUAACAAAAUUUUAAAACAAAUACUACUCUUUCAGGUGCUGGGGAAGUGAGACAGCAGAGGGCUAAAGAAGAGCAGGAGAGAACACAUACCAGCAUAAUUUCAACACCAUGGGUCAACAUCUAAAGCAUCACAGAAGCAUCCAGUCCCUGUAGAUCUAUCAUUCCCUCCACUUCCUCAAGGUGCUCUUCAGUUAACACCAUGUGGAAGUUUUGUUAGACAUUUAAUACUGUUGAACCUUUUUCCUGUUUAUCUAGUUUCAUUAAUUGUAAGAACAAUUUUUGAUAUUUCUUAUUCGCAAGAGUUGCCACAAGAGUUUUUUCCACAAGAGUUUUUUUCCAUGAGAGUUUUUCCUCAUCCCUCAGCUAAGCAGGAGUAGUUAGAGCUCCUACUCCUCUAUCCCUUACAUCAAAACAUCCAAGCCGCUUAGUUUUGAAAAAUUAAAUCCGAACUUCAGCCUUACUGAGCUUUGAAAAUAGCCUGUCUGGUCAUAUUACAUUACUGUCUACAGAAGUAAUGCUUUACUGCUUAGGGAUCCCAUCCCAGGCACAGCAGGAACAUUGUAUAGUUUUAAUUUUUUAGAAGCUUUUCUUAGUGGUAAUUUUCUAGAGUAGGUGAUUAGCUCUUCACUGGACCAGAAGUGAUUCACUUCAGCCAGGGAUAUAUUUGCAUCUCUUCUCUAUAACAAGUAUCUCUUUUCUCAAGUAGGUGGUACCUGUGUUUCAAAUGUCUGUAGUAAGUGCCUAAAUAAAGUUUUAUAUGCUUUAUUAUCA
rnacentral:lncRNA from 1 species